AGGGUUUUUCUCUUUCUAAAACCCUUCCGAUUCUCAGAUACCUUCAAUAGCUACUGGGUGUGCUCCGGGGGAGAGACACGCGAGUGGAAGGAAGAAGUGGGACCUUUUAUGGGUGUUUUCUUAUCGAACAUUAAAGAUUUAUUGUCUAAGCGUCCCCGGUCAUCUUUGCAUGUCCGAGGGUUAGAUGGUAAACUUUCUUGAACGAAAGGAACUCCUGGCAGCAGCUUUGUAUUCUGAUACAUUCGUUUAUACGAGAAAGUAUCUUGUGACAAAAAAAAAAAAACAA